GAAGAAGAAGAAGAAGAAGGCAACCCCAUAUUCUGCAUCCUUUUUAAUUGGUUUGUUUGAAGUAUAUCAAUCCUUUGAAUGUUUUUAUUGUUUCCAUUGGACCAAGGUGUUUCAUUUCAUGUGUUAUAUAACUUGACUGAUGUGUUUCUUGUAUUCAUUUUUAAGAUGGGCAUAGUCUAAAGGGGAGUUUAGGGUUUAGGGGGGUUUCUGAUUGUUAAUAGUACACUAUUAGUGGUAGUGAUGCAACUAGUGUUGUUACUGUUUGAAGAAGAGAGGAGAAAAUAUGUUAGAAAGUGUAAACCGUGAUAUGGCUUCAUGGUGACUAUUCAAUUUACUCCAAUAAUA
rnacentral:misc_RNA from 1 species